rnacentral:rRNA from 1 species
GAUGAACGCUGGCGGCGUGCCUAAUACAUGCAAGUCGAGCGAACAGAUGAGGAGCUUGCUCCUCUGACGUUAGCGGCGGACGGGUGAGUAACACGUGGAUAACCUACCUAUAAGACUGGGAUAACUUCGGGAAACCGGAGCUAAUACCGGAUAAUAUAUUGAACCGCAUGGUUCAAUAGUGAAAGACGGUUUUGCUGUCACUUAUAGAUGGAUCCGCGCCGCAUUAGCUAGUUGGUAAGGUAACGGCUUACCAAGGCAACGAUGCGUAGCCGACCUGAGAGGGUGAUCGGCCACACUGGGACUGAGACACGGUCCAGACUCCUACGGGAGGCAGCAGUAGGGAAUCUUCCGCAAUGGGCGAAAGCCUGACGGAGCAACGCCGCGUGAGUGAUGAAGGUCUUCGGAUCGUAAAACCCUGUUAUUAGGGAAGAACAAAUGUGUAAGUAACUAUGCACGUCUUGACGGUACCUAAUCAGAAAGCCACGGCUAACUACGUG